CAGUUCGGAUUGUAGUCUGCAACUCGACUACAUGAAGCUGGAAUCGCUAGUAAUCGCGAAUCAGAAUGUCGCGGUGAAUACGUUCCCGGGCCUUGUACACACCGCCCGUCACACCAUGAGAGUCGGGAACACCCGAAGUCCGUAGCCUAACCGCAAGGGGGGCGCGGCCGAAGGUGGGUUCGAUAAUUGGGGUGAAGUCGUAACAAGGUAGC
rnacentral:rRNA from 1 species